rnacentral:tRNA from 1 species
UACCCCCGGGGAAAGUCAAAUCCCCUUUGCCUCC